AUGGAAAAGUCUGUUAGAGCUAGAGCUUUACCUCCAGUGGACAUAUGGGAAAACAAUCACACAGUCCCUGGUUUUUGAAAAUAUCCAUUUCCUCACAAUGGUUUAUAAGAAGCUAAAAAUUACAAGUUGCCUUGAAAUUUAGGGAAUAACUGAUAUGGAUUAAAUGAUUAAAGGAUCUUAACUUUCUGACAUCCCUUUUAUACACCUUCAUUUUAAAGCACUGGAUACCCACAGGAACACGUGAACUAGUUGUCUACAUUUGCUCUGCUCAGUUUUAUGUUCAACAAAAUGUUGUUACUUCGACUAUAACUGAAGUUUUAAUAUGAGCCUGAGAUACCAGAUAAAGAAGAUCAAGAGAUUUCUCAGGCCAAUAAUUAGCUAGAAGAUGAAAGAGAUUAUUCACUAUUCCCUCCUGUACUGGACUUUAAUUCCAAUUAUUGGAUAAUAUGCUUGAUUUCUUAAUAAGUUUAAUGUGACAAGUCGAAAAAUAUUUUCCCAGUGUAAAUUUUUAGAAAUGC